rnacentral:rRNA from 1 species
UACGUAGGUGGCAAGCGUUGUCCGGAUUUAUUGGGCGUAAAGCGAGCGCAGGCGGUUUCCUAAGUCUGAUGUGAAAGCCCCCGGCUCAACCGGGGAGGGUCAUUGGAAACUGGGAAACUUGAGUGCAGAAGAGGAGAGUGGAAUUCCAUGUGUAGCGGUGAAAUGCGUAGAUAUAUGGAGGAACACCAGUGGCGAAGGCGGCUCUCUGGUCUGUAACUGACGCUGAGGCUCGAAAGCGUGGGGAGCAAACAGGAUUAGAUACCCUGGUAGUCCACGCCGUAAACGAUGAGUGCUAAGUGUUGGAGGGUUUCCGCCCUUCAGUGCUGCAGCUAACGCAUUAAGCACUCCGCCUGGGGUGUACGACCGCAAAGUUGAA